UUUUUUUUUUUUUUUUUAAAUCUUCUUGAUACAUUAGAGUAUAGAUGCAAGAUACAUGAACAAAAUGACAAAUGUUGUGAGAGAGGAGGAGAAGGAAAUUCAAAGACGUACAUGGUCGUCCACUUCCUGCGAAGUGCAUCAAAACGAAUUUCUACAAGGAAUUUCCGACGCUAAUAUAUAAAGAAAAUUGUGAUCAGGUUUGAGUUUUAGAGAAAGACUGACGAACGGAAAAGAUUUGAUGCCCCAUGCACGUCUUCGUGUAAGCAGAGGGGGAAAAAAAAAAGGACAAGUCAAUUCUAAACCGUGUGGUUCAUCGCGCUUCAUACUUUGUCGUGUUGAGCCGAAUAUAGAGUCGUAAGUAAAGUGCUUUGCAAAGUUUAUGAACUAGUUAAAAUCGUGUCUGACAGACUGACGGAUGGAUGAAAUGUACAGGCGUUGGUACUAUAAAGAACCCUCACGGUCCUGACCGCUAUGUGGUACUUCAUCUAUAACUGGUGUCGUCUUAAUGGGAAUGAACAAUACUGGAUGGGAGCGGGAUUGACAAUGAGAUUAUUGUAUAUAAUCUUUCCCUCUUACCUGCGUUUCCUCCAGUGACAACAACGACCAUACCAGAUCUCAGUGUUUCCCGGGGGAAAGAGGGGGAUCCUCCCAUUUUUGAAAAUUGCUGUCAACUUCAACGGAAACUUCCAAGUUUGAACGAAAUAACUGUGUUGUUUAAACAGCUACCACAUAAAUGAGGAACAUUACAUCCGGUUUCAGUGGAAAGUUAGUCAUGAGGGGAUAUUUAUCACAUAACGGACACUAUAUAUAUGUCAUUUUCAAUAUUAAUACCUCCAGUACUUCAAGUAUUGUGCAAACCAAACAGAAAGUAGAAAUAUAUCUAAGAGGUGAUUUUAAA